rnacentral:rRNA from 1 species
AGCGUACACGGUGGAUGCCCUGGCAGUCAGAGGCGAUGAAGGACGUGCUAAUCUGCGAAAAGCGUCGGUAAGGUGAUAUGAACCGUUAUAGCCGGCGAUGUCCGAAUGGGGAAACCCAGUGCAAUUCGUUGCACUAUCGUUAACUGAAUACAUAGGUUAACGAGGCGAACCGGGGGAACUGAAACAUCUAAGUACCCCGAGGAAAAGAAAUCAACCGAGAUUCCCCCAGUAGCGGCGAGCGAACGGGGAGCAGCCCAGAGUCUGAAUCAGCUUGUGUGUUAGUGGAACGGUCUGGAAAGUCCGACGGUACAGGGUGAUAGUCCCGUACACCAAAAUGCACAGGCUGUGAACUCGAAGAGUAGGGCGGGACACGUGGUAUCCUGUCUGAAUAUGGGGGGACCAUCCUCCAAGGCUAAAUACUCCUGACUGACCGAUAGUGAACCAGUACCGUGAGGGAAAGGCGAAAAGAACCCCGGCGAGGGGAGUGAAAAAGAACCUGAAACCGUGUACGUACAAGCAGUGGGAGCACCUUCGGGUGUGACUGCGUACCUUUUGUAUAAUGGGUCAGCGACUUAUAUUCUGUAGCAAGGUUAACCGUAUAGGGGAGCCGCAGGGAAACCGAGUCUUAACUGGGCGUUAAGUUGCAGGGUAUAGACCCGAAACCCGGUGAUCUAGCCAUGGGCAGGUUGAAGGUUGGGUAACACUAACUGGAGGACCGAACCGACUAAUGUUGAAAAAUUAGCGGAUGACUUGUGGCUGGGGGUGAAAGGCCAAUCAAACCGGGAGAUAGCUGGUUCUCCCCGAAAGCUAUUUAGGUAGCGCCUCGUGAAUUCAUCUUCGGGGGUAGAGCACUGUUUCGGCUAGGGGGUCAUCCCGACUUACCAACCCGAUGCAAACUACGAAUACCGAAGAAUGUUAUCACGGGAGACACACGGCGGGUGCUAACGUCCGUCGUGAAGAGGGAAACAACCCAGACCGCCAGCUAAGGUCCCAAAGUCAUGGUUAAGUGGGAAACGAUGUGGGAAGGCACAGACAGCCAGGAUGUUGGCUUAGAAGCAGCCAUCAUUUAAAGAAAGCGUAAUAGCUCACUGGUCGAGUCGGCCUGCGCGGAAGAUGUAACGGGGCUAAACCAUGCACCGAAGCUGCGGCAGCGACACUAUGUGUUGUUGGGUAGGGGAGCGUUCUGUAAGCCUGCGAAGGUGACCUGUGAGGGUUGCUGGAGGUAUCAGAAGUGCGAAUGCUGACAUAAGUAACGAUAAAGCGGGUGAAAAGCCCGCUCGCCGGAAGACCAAGGGUUCCUGUCCAACGUUAAUCGGGGCAGGGUGAGUCGACCCCUAAGGCGAGGCCGAAAGGCGUAGUCGAUGGGAAACAGGUUAAUAUUCCUGUACUUGGUGUUACUGCGAAGGGGGGACGGAGAAGGCUAUGUUAGCCGGGCGACGGUUGUCCCGGUUUAAGCAUGUAGGCUGAUUGUCCAGGCAAAUCCGGAUAAUCAAGGCUGAGGUGUGAUGACGAGGCACUACGGUGCUGAAGUAACAAAUGCCCUGCUUCCAGGAAAAGCCUCUAAGCAUCAGGUAACAUCAAAUCGUACCCCAAACCGACACAGGUGGUCAGGUAGAGAAUACCAAGGCGCUUGAGAGAACUCGGGUGAAGGAACUAGGCAAAAUGGUGCCGUAACUUCGGGAGAAGGCACGCUGGUGUGUAGGUGAAGUCCCUGCGGAUGGAGCUGAGACCAGUCGAAGAUACCAGCUGGCUGCAACUGUUUAUUAAAAACACAGCACUGUGCAAACACGAAAGUGGACGUAUACGGUGUGACGCCUGCCCGGUGCCGGAAGGUUAAUUGAUGGGGUUAUCCGUAAGGAGAAGCUCUUGAUCGAAGCCCCGGUAAACGGCGGCCGUAACUAUAACGGUCCUAAGGUAGCGAAAUUCCUUGUCGGGUAAGUUCCGACCUGCACGAAUGGCGUAAUGAUGGCCAGGCUGUCUCCACCCGAGACUCAGUGAAAUUGAACUCGCUGUGAAGAUGCAGUGUACCCGCGGCAAGACGGAAAGACCCCGUGAACCUUUACUAUAGCUUGACACUGAACAUUGAGCCUUGAUGUGUAGGAUAGGUGGGAGGCUUUGAAGCGUGGACGCCAGUCUGCGUGGAGCCAACCUUGAAAUACCACCCUUUAAUGUUUGAUGUUCUAACGUUGGCCCCUUACCGGGGUUGCGGACAGUGUCUGGUGGGUAGUUUGACUGGGGCGGUCUCCUCCCAAAGCGUAACGGAGGAGCACGAAGGUUAGCUAAUCCUGGUCGGACAUCAGGAGGUUAGUGCAAUGGCAUAAGCUAGCUUGACUGCGAGCGUGACGGCGCGAGCAGGUGCGAAAGCAGGUCAUAGUGAUCCGGUGGUUCUGAAUGGAAGGGCCAUCGCUCAACGGAUAAAAGGUACUCCGGGGAUAACAGGCUGAUACCGCCCAAGAGUUCAUAUCGACGGCGGUGUUUGGCACCUCGAUGUCGGCUCAUCACAUCCUGGGGCUGAAGUAGGUCCCAAGGGUAUGGCUGUUCGCCAUUUAAAGKGGUACGCGAGCUGGGUUUAGAACGUCGUGAGACAGUUCGGUCCCUAUCUGCCGUGGGCGCUGGAGAAUUGAGGGGGGCUGCUCCUAGUACGAGAGGACCGGAGUGGACGCAUCACUGGUGUUCGGGUUGUCAUGCCAAUGGCACUGCCCGGUAGCUAAAUGCGGAAGAGAUAAGUGCUGAAAGCAUCUAAGCACGAAACUUGCCCCGAGAUGAGUUCU